GCAGUGGUGGUUUAGUGGUAGAAUUCUCACCUUAAAUGUGGGAGACCCAGGUUCAACUCCCAACCAAUGCA
rfam:Loxodonta africana unplaced genomic scaffold scaffold_22, whole genome shotgun sequence.